UACGGAGGGUGCGAGUGUUGUCCGGAAUUAUUGGGCGUAAAGAGCUCGUAGGCGGUUUGUCGCGUCUGCUGUGAAAACUCGGGGCUUAACUCCGGGCCUGCAGUGGGUACGGGCAGACUAGAGUGCGGUAGGGGAGACUGGAAUUCCUGGUGUAGCGGUGAAAUGCGCAGAUAUCAGGAGGAACACCGGUGGCGAAGGCGGGUCUCUGGGCCGUAACUGACGCUGAGGAGCGAAAGCGUGGGGAGCGAACAGG
rnacentral:rRNA from 1 species